UACGUAGGGUGCGAGCGUUGUCCGGAAUUAUUGGGCGUAAAGAGCGUGUAGGCGGCCAGACAGGUCCGUUGUGAAAACUCGAGGCUCAACCUCGAGACGCCGAUGGAAACCGUCUGGCUAGAGUCCGGAAGAGGAGAGUGGAAUUCCUGGUGUAGCGGUGAAAUGCGCAGAUAUCAGGAAGAACACCCGUGGCGAAGGCGGCUCUCUGGGACGGUACUGACGCUGAGACGCGAAAGCGUGGGGAGCGAACAGG
rnacentral:rRNA from 1 species